ensembl:misc_RNA Y_RNA Y RNA
GGCUGGUCCAAAGGUAGUGAGUUAUCUCAACUGAUUGUUCAGUCAGUUACAGGCCAAACCCCUUGUUCUAUUCUUUUCCCUUCUUAAUACUGCACUUGUUUUUAA